rnacentral:rRNA from 1 species
UACAGAGGGCGCAAGCGUUGUUCGGAUUCAUUGGGCGUAAAGGGUGCGUAGGCGGCGCCGUAAGUCGGGUGUGAAAUUUCGGAGCUUAACUCCGAAACUGCAUUCGAUACUGCGGUGCUUGAGGACUGGAGAGGAGACUGGAAUUCAUGGUGUAGCAGUGAAAUGCGUAGAGAUCAUGAGGAAGACCAGUGGCGAAGGCGGGUCUCUGGACAGUUCCUGACACUGGGGCACGAAGGCCAGGGGAGCAAACGGG